rnacentral:rRNA from 1 species
GUGAGGAAUAUUGGUCAAUGGGCGGGAGCCUGAACCAGCCAAGUCGCGUGCAGGAAGAAGGAUCUAUGGUUCGUAAACUUCUUUUGCAGGGAAUAAAGUGCGGGACGUGUCCUGUUUUGUAUGUACCCUGAGAAUAAGGAUCGGCUAACUCCGUGCCAGCAGCCGCGGUAAUACGGAGGAUCCGAGCGUUAUCCGGAUUUAUUGGGUUUAAAGGGUGCGUAGGUGGUUUGAUAAGUCAGCGGUGAAAGUUUGCAGCUUAACUGUAAAAAUGCCGUUGAAACUGUCGGAUUUGAGUGUAAAUGAGGUAGGCGGAAUGCGUGGUGUAGCGGUGAAAUGCAUAGAUAUCACGCAGAACUCCGAUUGCGAAGGCAGCUUACUAAGCUACAACUGACACUGAAGCACGAAAGCGUGGGGAUCAAACAGGAUUAGAAACCCCUGUAGUCC